GGGGCGUCGCCAAGUGGUAAGGCAACGGACUUUGACUCCGUCAUUCGUAGGUUCGAAUCCUCCCGCCCCAGC
rnacentral:tRNA from 1 species